AUUUGUGAUAUCAAACUAGAUUUUUUUUGUCUUUAAAUAGGUUUGUUAUUUUCUGAGAAAUAAUAGUUUGUUAAACAAUUGGAUAUCUUUCUUAAUAUUCAAAAGUCUCGGCUUCAUGAAAAAUAUGAUCAUUAAUUUUUUUUUGUUAAGUAGGAAUUGUUGAUCAACAUGCUAAAUUUUUUAUUUCAUACCUAAAUUCUCAUUGUUUCUUUUCAUAGAUUGCUUUAUUUUUAUUACUUAAU
rnacentral:lncRNA from 1 species